UCCCAGCAGUCCAAGUCGCAGCCACAUUUGUUGGGUCUAAAACAUCCGUAGCUUGCCUUUCAAGUCUCUUGUGAAAUCGGGCCUCUUAAGGGUCCGGCGAGCAAGGGAUACUGUUUGGCUAGAGACCGGGGGACGUAAGGAGUACAUUCGGAGUAGCGGUCAAAUGCGUUGAUCCUGAAUGGACUAACAAUAGCGAAGGCACCUUACGAUAACGGUUCUGACAGUGAGGGAUGAAGGCUAGGGGCGCAAAGUGGAUUAGAUACCCAUGUAGUCCUAGCAGUAAACACUGCACACUAAACAUUAGUGCCUCCUCGAGAGGCAUUAGUGCUGUAGGGAAGCCGGAGAGUGUGCUACCUGGGAAGUAUAGCCGCAAGGCCGAAACUUGAAGGAAUAGGCGGGGGAGUACCACAACGGGUGACGCGUACGGUUCAAUUAGAUUCUACACCGUGAACCUUACCAGGAUCGACAGCAGAAUGAAGGUCAGUCUAAAGGGCUUACCUGACACGCUGAGAGGAGAUGCAUGGCCGACGUCAGCCUGUGUCGUGAGAUGACCAGUUAAAUCUGGUAACAGGCGAGACCCGUAUGAAUAUUUGCAUUCGCACAAUAUUCAGACUGCCUGGGUAACCAGGAGGAAGGUGCGGGCUACGUUAGGUGAGUACGUCCCAAAUACCCUGGGUAACACGCGCGCGUCAAUGCUGCACUCAAAGGGAUGCAACACCGAAAGGUGUAGCCAAUCUCAUAAAAUGCAGCCUAGUUCAGAUCGAGGGUUGCAACUCACCCUCGUGACGCUGGAAUUCGUAGUAAUCGGAUUUUAUCAGAGUCCGGUGAAUAGGUCCCUGCUCCU
rnacentral:rRNA from 1 species